rnacentral:rRNA from 1 species
GCAUACGCCCUGAGGGGGAAAGCGGGGGACCGUAAGGCCUCGCGCGAUUAGAGCGGCCGAUGUCUGAUUAGCUUGUUGGUGAGGUAAAAGCUCACCAAGGCGAUGAUCAGUAGCUGGUCUGAGAGGACGAUCAGCCACACUGGGACUGAGACACGGCCCAGACUCCUACGGGAGGCAGCAGUGGGGAAUUUUGGACAAUGGGGGCAACCCUGAUCCAGCAAUGCCGCGUGAGUGAAGAAGGCCUUCGGGUUGUAAAGCUCUUUUGUCAGGGAAGAAACAGCAGCGUCGUAACACAGACUGCGAAUGACGGUACCUGAAGA